AUUGAACGCUGGCGGCAGGCCUAACACAUGCAAGUCGAGCGGAUGAAGGGAGUUUGCUCCUGGAUUCAGCGGCGGACGGGUGAGUAAUUCCUAGGAAUCUGCCCUGUAGGGGGGGAUAACGUCCGGAAACGGGCGCUAAUACCGCACACGUCCUGAGGGGGAAUUUGGGGGAUCUUCGGACCUCACGCUAUCUGAUGAGCCUAGGUCGGAUUAGCUAGUUGGUGGGGUAAAGGCCUACGAAGGCGACGAUCCGUGACUCGUCUGAGAGGAUGAUCAGUCACACUGGAACUGAGACACGGUCCAGACUCCUCCGGGAGGCAGCAGAGGGGAAUAUUGGACAAGGGGCGAAAGCCUGAUGCAGCUAUGCCGCGUGUGUGAAGAAGGUCUCCGGAUUGUAAAGCACUUUAAGUUGGGAGGAAGGGUAGUAAGUUGAUACCUUGAUGUUUUGACGGUACCAAAAGAAAAAGCGCCGGCUAACUUCGUG
rnacentral:rRNA from 1 species